rnacentral:rRNA from 1 species
UGAACGCUGGCGGCAGGCCUAACACAUGCAAGUCGAGCGGAUGAAGGGAGCUUGCUCCUGGAUUCAGCGGCGGACGGGUGAGUAACGCCUAGGAAUCUGCCUGGUAGUGGGGGAUAACGUCCGGAAACGGGCGCUAAUACCGCAUACGUCCUGAGGGAGAAAGUGGGGGAUCUUCGGACCUCACGCUAUCAGAUGAGCCUAGGUCGGAUUAGCUAGUUGGUGGGGUAAAGGCCUACCAAGGCGACGAUCCGUAACUGGUCUGAGAGGAUGAUCAGUCACACUGGAACUGAGACACGGUCCAGACUCCUACGGGAGGCAGCAGUGGGGAAUAUUGGACAAUGGGCGAAAGCCUGAUCCAGCCAUGCCGCGUGUGUGAAGAAGGUCUUCGGAUUGUAAAGCACUUUAAGUUGGGAGGAAGGGCAGUAAGUUAAUACCUUGCUGUCUUGACGUUACCAACAGAAUAAGCACCGGCUAACUUCGUG